GACGAGCGCUGGCGGCGUGCUUAACACAUGCAAGUCGUACGGUAAGGCCCUUUCGGGGGUACACGAGUGGCGAACGGGUGAGUAACACGUGAGUAACCUGCCCACAACUUUGGGAUAACGCUAGGAAACUGGUGCUAAUACUGGUUAUGUGCUCCUGCUGCAUGGUGGGGGUUGGAAAGCUCCGGCGGUUGUGGAUGGACUCGCGGCCUAUCAGCUUGUUGGUGGGGUAGUGGCCUACCAAGGCGGCGACGGGUAGCCGGCCUGAGAGGGUGACCGGCCACAUUGGGACUGAGAUACGGCCCAGACUCCUACGGGAGGCAGCAGUGGGGAAUAUUGCACAAUGGGCGCAAGCCUGAUGCAGCAACGCCGCGUGCGGGAUGACGGCCUUCGGGUUGUAAACCGCUUUCAGCAGGGACGAAGCUUUUUGUGACGGUACCUGCAGAAGAAGCACCGGCUAACUACGUG
rnacentral:rRNA from 1 species